rfam:Actinoplanes awajinensis subsp. mycoplanecinus strain NRRL B-16712 P067contig309.1, whole genome shotgun sequence.
UUCGGUGGUCAUAGCGGAGGGGAAACGCCCGGUUACAUUCCGAACCCGGUAGCUAAGCCCUCCAGCGCCGAUGGUACUGCACUCGGGAGGGUGUGG